GGUAGUAAAAGUCGUAACAAGGUUUCCGUAGGUGAACCUGCGGAAGGAUCAUUAUCGUACAAAAUGUGAGGGGCAUGCGAGGGCUGUCGCUUACCCAAAAGUCGUGCACGCCCGAGUGUGUCCUCUUGCAUAAUAAUCCAUCUCACCCUUUGUGCAUCACCGCGUGGGCACCCUUCGGGAUCAUCUCGGAGGGGGGCUCGCGUUUUCACACAAACCCCCCUUUUAAAAGUGUAGAAUGACCACAUUUAUGCAAUCAAUACAACUUUCAACAACGGAUCUCUUGGCUCUC
rnacentral:misc_RNA from 1 species